rnacentral:miRNA from 1 species
UUGACAGAAGAAAGGGAGCAC